UGCAACCUAGUAUAAUGGUAGUAUUCAGGGUUCAUCUUCCUGAGAUAGAGGUUCGAUACCUCUGGUUGCUC